rnacentral:rRNA from 1 species
UACGGAGGGGGCUAGCGUUGUUCGGAAUUACUGGGCGUAAAGCGCACGUAGGCGGCUUUGUAAGUUAGAGGUGAAAGCCCGGGGCUCAACCCCGGAAUAGCCUUUAAGACUGCAUCGCUUGAACGUCGGAGAGGUGAGUGGAAUUCCGAGUGUAGAGGUGAAAUUCGUAGAUAUUCGGAAGAACACCAGUGGCGAAGGCGGCUCACUGGACGACUGUUGACACUGAGGUGCGAAAGCGUGGGGAGCAAACAGG